CCUCCACCUAAAUAUCCUUUACCUUCUACACAAAUUAUUCUACGAGGUGUAAUGCACCUCCAGAUUGAAAAGUUUUAAGUUAAAAGCUUCCUCAUCUACAAAACUGAGAAGUCCUAAAGAGCACUUUAUUCUGAGGGUUAAAGCGAUGAUAAGAGGAACUGAAAGACAGUAGAUAUUAAGUGCUAGUACCUCUUCCUGAGAUAUCCCUAGCAACUUGAAUUCAGUAGCAUUAUGGGGAAAAACUGACCAUCAAACACACACGCACUUCUGCAACACCACUGAUGUAAGAAAGGGUAAGUCAAAAUGCCAUCUGGCAUCCUGGAAGAAUUGACAUUGAUCAAC
rnacentral:lncRNA from 1 species